CCUACGGGUGGCAGCAGUGAGGAAUAUUGGUCAAUGGACGGAAGUCUGAACCAGCCAUGCCGCGUGCAGGAAGACGGCUCUAUGAGUUGUAGACUGCUUUUUUACAAGGGUAAACCUGAAUACGUGUAUUCAGCUGACAGUACUGUACGAAUAAGGAUCGGCUAACUCCGUGCCAGCAGCCGCGGUAAUCCGGAGGGUCCAAGCGUUAUCCGGAUUUAUUGGGUUUAAAGGGUGCGUAGGCGGAAUGAUAAGUUUGCGGUGAAAGGUCCGAGCUUAACUCGGGAACUGCCUCUAAUACUGGUGAGCUAGAAAGUAGAUGCGGUAGGCGGAAUGUAUGGUGUAGCGGUGAAAUGCUUAGAGAUCAGACAGAACACCGAUGGCGAAGGCAGCUUACCAAUCUAUAUCUGACGUUGAGGCACGAAAGCGUGGGGAGCAAACAGGAUUAGAUACCCGGGUAGUC
rnacentral:rRNA from 1 species